UUUGUACUAAAACUUAAGUACUUAUUUCUUCUCAAAUUUCUGUAGCAUUUUGUUUUCUUUGAAAAAGUAUCUUUGUUUUAAUGUUUCAUUUUUUUUUUUAGUUUUAAAGAAUCCCACAUACAUAUUCUUAAUGUCACCUAACGAAUCACAAUAUUCUUAAGUUUCUAAAGAGACUACUUUAUUGUAAAAUUUCAAAGUUUUCAAUAGAUUUCUUUUACAAUGAGAGUUUGGAAUAUUUUAAAUUUUUAUUUUGGCUCUAUGUAAGAAGUUAACCCUGUAUCUAUGUUAAUUUGGUUCUAUAAAAGAAACAGGUAAUUAUGGUAUCUAUCAGUUAAUGCCAAAUGUUUCUUCACAUUCUUCAGAAAUGAGGGGAAAAUGUUUACUUAAGUGUUCUGUACGUAUUUCAAUAUGUUAUGUAAUAUUAAUAUAAGUAAUUCUCUAUAUCCCUGGGCACUUGCUUUAGGAAAUGAUCACUUUUUUAUGCUAUUUGUGUGUGCUGCUGAGGUACUACCAUUUGUUGUGGAACAGCACUUUCUUAUAAUCCAAUAGUUCUGCUUUAAAGUUAAGUGAAAUUUUUAUCACAGGUGUAAAUUCUGAUACUUGAAUUUUAUUUAAACAGUUUUAUUGUGUAAUAAACAUUAGAAAAUGUCUAUAUUUCUCUAUCUAGGGAGCCAUUUUCCAUGGAGUGGCUUAUGUGCUCAAUUUAUUGAGAUGAUGUUAAUGUCUUUAUUGUACUAUUAGCAUGUUCCAACAAAAUUGAAAGACCAAAGUAAUAGAUGUUCAGAUAUUGUUUUUCUUUUGUAAUGUCACCUAACAAAUUACAAUUAUGUACAUAGAUG
rnacentral:lncRNA from 1 species